CCUACGGGAGGCAGCAGUGGGGAAUUUUGGACAAUGGGCGCAAGCCUGAUCCAGCUAUUCCGCGUGUGGGAUGACGGCCCUCGGGUUGUAAACCACUUUAGUAGAGAACGAAAAGGAGCUCUCGAAUAAAUAGCUCUGCUGACGGUCCUCUAAGAAUAAGCACCGGAUAACUACGUGCCAGCAGCCGCGGUAAUACGUAGGGGGCGAGCGUUAAUCGGAUGUACUGGGUGGAAAGGGGGUGCAGGCGGCCAUGCAAGACAGGGGUGAAAGCCCCGGGCUUAACCCGGGAACUGCCUUUGUAACUGCAUGGCUGGAGUGCGGGAGGGGCAGGCGGAAUUCCGGGUGUAGCGGUGAAAUGCGUAGAUAUGAGGAGGAACACCGGCGGCGAAGGCGGCCUGCUGGAACGCGACUGACGUUGAGGCUCGAAAGCGUGGGGAGCGAACAGGAUUAGAUACCCCAGUAGUC
rnacentral:rRNA from 1 species